GAAGAAGAGGUAAGUGAGAAUGACGCGUUUGGUGAAGAAGAGAAAGAAGAAGAGGGAUUGGAAGAAGUUGAGAAAAGAAGAGAUAGUCACAAUAGGCAGAUGAGAGAAAUAUUUAGACAUGUGACUAUGGUUCCUUUAGAAGAAAGUCAUCCUCAAAUUCCUGUUUAUUCUAAGAAAAUUAAUUAUUACCUUGGAGAGGUGAUAGAUUUAGAAACAG
rnacentral:lncRNA from 1 species